rnacentral:rRNA from 1 species
UACGAAGGGGGCUAGCGUUGCUCGGAAUCAUUGGGCGUAAAGCGCGUGUAGGCGGCUUGGUAAGUCCGCUCUGAAAGUCCAGGGCUCAACCCUGGGAUGCGGGUGGAUACUGUCAAGCUCGAGUCCGGAAGAGGCGAGUGGAAUUCCCGGUGUAGCGGUGAAAUGCGCAGAUAUCGGGAGGAACACCAAUGGCGAAGGCAGCUCGCUGGGACGUGACUGACGCUGAGACG